UAACAAUUAAAUUAGAAAAAAAAGAAGAAGAAGAAGCAGAGGUUAGGAAUUCAGGAGGAAGAAGAAGCUUCGCUGGUGACAGAGGCGAAGGUUGAACGGAGAAAAGGCGACGGCGGGGACGGUGGAUAGAACCUCCAUCGCUCCGCCACGAGACCGCCGUUCUGGAGCCAGAACCUUCUCCAAGCAUAGUCGUCGUCAGAUCGAGGGAGAGAGAAAGGGAUCGACCAUAACGAUGAAGAUGACGAACUCAGGCGAAAGGGACAACGAACCCAGAACGACGACGACGAACUCAUGCGACAACGAUUGAGCGUCCAUGAUCGACUCUUAAUCAUGGAUCCACCACACCCAGAUCCAACAUCAUCCUCCUCCAACAACAACCCACAAUUCCAACAACAACCCACAUCCUCCAGCAGUCCACAUUCCAUGGAUAUGAAGAGAAACCCUAAAGAAAGAGGGUUGAUAGUUGCAGAAAGAGUGUUCUUCGCUGAUUCGAUUUUGCCCACAAGAACCAGAUUUGGAUUCGGUUUUGCUUUGAUUUAGUGUACCAAGCAGGUUCAUACCCAGAAGGAGAAGAGGCAGAAAUAUGAGUUUUUCUAUUUGAAAUUGAAAUAUGAAAUUGGGGGUUUUUCUAUUUGAAGCUACCAUUGCUGCAGCCAUAAAGUUUGCAGGGAAGAGAGAAAGGGAUGGUUAUCCAGAUGCACAUCUAUCUAUCUACUUCUACUACACCUUAAAAGAGAGACAAGAAAUCCCUAUUCAUAAGAGAACUUCCAAUCUGGGUCGUCUAUUUGACUAUCUCUCCAUUUUAACUCUUUAAUCCUGGCCCUUCAUCUGUGAGACUUUUUUCUCAUGUAUUCUACUCGCUGACGUCACAGAACGCGUUGAUGGAGUAUGCGAUGAAGGAGAGGAGUGUAUCCAUGGUUUGAUUUCGUGGGUAAUCGUCAUCCCUGCAGGCCCUGUCUCUGUAGCGUGAGGAUCGUCAUUCUUUCAGGUGAAAAUCAGAAGGAAGAUAAUAGAUUAUUCAGGAAAUUGUUUAAUUUGUUGUCAGAAGCUGAACGAAGUCGGAAAGAGUUCCUAUUUCUUCGUCAGUUUAGUACAAGAAGGCUCUACCUACUUCCAAAGGCCAAGCUCUUGCAGAUGAGUAUGGUGUCAAGUUCUUUCAGACUAGUGCAAAAACAAACUUGAAUGUGGUGGAGGUUUUCUUUUCAAUAACAAGAGACAUCAAGCAGAGCCUUGCAGACACAGAUUCUAGAGCUGAGAUGAUUCUAAUGAAUUGGCUAAGAAUAAUGAUGAUGGAGAGGAUACUUUCAAGUUGUCAUAUUCUGAUGCUGAGUGAAGAAUUAGAGGAAAAGAACCUUCAGAAAAGUUUUGUUCCUUGAACAAACCUCAAAGAUGGAUGAGAAGAUUAUUAUCAAAGAUGCUGCUGCUCCGAAUUACACAUCUAGAAAGCCAAGUAAAUAAGUUGCAGAAAUCUUCCAAGUGAAACUUGGGCCCCUAAAUUAGCAAACUAGCAAAGAACAUGAGCAACUUGAAGUCAUGCCUCUUCCAGAAAAAUCUAUGGAUGCUGAAAGACUAGGACCUGAAAAUUAGUUUUUCAAAGAGAAGGUGGAAAAGGAGGCCAGAUUGUGGACAAAGUUGAAAUUGCAGUUCAAAUUACACACAACCAAACCGGUGUCACUAUUCACUGAACAAGUUAUUUUUCCUCUUUUCACACUUAUUUAAUAUGUGAACCCAUCUUCCAUGUUUCUGAGGCUUCUUUGGAACAUAAUAUAGUUGGAGAUAAUUUAUAUUUUAUAUGUUAGAAACAUAUUUUAGUCUCAUGUUAAGUAGAUCCAAGAUUCAAACUUAACUCACAAAGUGUUUCUUCUUUAAGAAUUAUUAUCCCCACUUAACUCUUCCUAGAAUCAGAACCUGAAAUACUCAUUCAAGAAAUCUUAAUCCUGAUAUUAGUAUACAAUUGAGAGGCAUUUAUUUCAUAGUUUCUUAAAUCCUCACAGAUUAAUUAACACUAUGGAUAUUACUGCGACAAAUUCACACCAAACUCAUGCAAAUGAGAAUUGAAGUGCAUGAUUAAAAUGCAUUAUGUUAAAGAUUCCCAUGGUAAUGAUUUUGAUGAUUGGUGUUGGCCUGAUCAUCCUCCUAACUUGACACUUUGAACCCAGAGAUUAGAUCCUGGUGGUAUGCUAUGUUUUAUUUUCAGAGUUCUGUUGGUUCCACUCCUCUUUCCAAAUGGAAUGUGCCUUUCGUCUUCAAUGGUCUUGAGGUUUGUUAAUUUUUUCAAAGGUUUAUUUAUUUAUUUAUUCUUGUGGUUUUUAUCAUGUUUUUGGAAUUGGAAUCUUCGUUUGCAAAGUUUUCAAAGGUGACACUUUCAUCUCAUGCAUUUGGGUUAGGGAAAAGGGAAAGAAAUGAUGUGCUUUGUAAGGAACUCAUUAUCACCAGCAUCCAUUUCCAUGAUAAUGAUUGAUGAUAUGCAUGCAGACCUUAUGACCCAAGCAUUUAUCGUGUAUGCUGGAGAAAUCAUUAGGAUAAUUAACAAUUUAUCCACAUGGUGACUCUAAUCAUCAAUGACCUCAUAAUUUGGGAUUAUCUAUGACACAAAUGUUCCCCCAAAGCACUAUGUCCAGCAGAAAAUAAAAUACAUGUUGAAAAUUAAUAGAGGCCAGCAUCAUCCCACCUAUAGGUUUCACACUUAGUGGUUACGGACUUGUGGUCCCAGAGGCUAGAGUAGUAGCUUGGUUGUUGUACUUGUGCCAAGUUGGACUUGAGAAGGAGGAUGGGAGUAUGAUGAAAAAUAACAAAACACUCCUGAGUGAAGAUUCAACUAAUGUAAGAAGAUUUUGGAAUUUGACAGCUUCAUAUGAAGCUAAACCGUUGUGGUAUUUACUUAUUGCAGGUCGAUGUCUCGAGUUGUUUGCUUUGGCAUAUGAAAUCUUUGUAUUUAGUCAGUUUUGGAGAACUACUAGAGUGAUGUGUUUAGUCUUUAACUUUGUAAUUGUCUUUGAUUUACUCGGAAGUUUCUCAUUACUAAAGUGUGCCUAAUUGCAGGUACUUGCCUAAAGUUGGUUUGAUAUGGACUUUGCAGGCCAUCGCUUAGUGGCAAUAUCAUCUAUUAGGAUAUUAUCAUGAUUGUGUUGAUUUUUUAAAAACUCAUAAAAUAGAGAACAACUUUCAUUCAGGUGCUAUUUGGUAUUGGUGAUUUAAAUUGUAACUCAGUCAUGAUUUUGACUUGGACAUACAAUUCCUAUAUACAGGUUGUAGGAAAUAUAUGUCAAGAUUUUAUUUUA